CGAGCCGGGCGGACGGCCGCGUGGAGCUCCUCAGGGGCUUCCCGAGGAACGUCCGGACUCCACAGGGCAGGGUGAUGGCUAACGGCCACCCGGGGUGACCCGCGGGACAGUGCCACAGAAAACAGACCGCCCGGCGCUCAGGCGCUGGGUAAGGGUGAAACGGUGGUGUAAGAGACCACCAGUGCCCAGGGUGACCUGGGCAGCUAGGUAAACCCCACCCGGAGCAAGGUCAAAAGGAGCGCCGUCAGACGCUCUGCGCGGACGUUCGAGGGCUGCCCGCCCGAGUCCGCGGGUAGACCGCAGGAGGCCGGCGGCAACGUCGGCCCUAGAUGGAUGGCCGUCUCCCCGGCUGCCGUGAGGCGACCGGGCGACAGAAUCCGGCGUACAGCCCGACUCGUCUG
rnacentral:RNase_P_RNA from 1 species